AGUGAACGCUGGCGGUAGGCCUAACACAUGCAAGUCGAACGGCAGCACAGUAAGAGCUUGCUCUUACGGGUGGCGAGUGGCGGACGGGUGAGGAAUACAUCGGAAUCUACUUUUUCGUGGGGGAUAACGUAGGGAAACUUACGCUAAUACCGCAUACGACCUACGGGUGAAAGCAGGGGAACUUCGGACCUUGCGCGAUUGAAUGAGCCGAUGUCGGAUUAGCUAGUUGGCGGGGUAAAGGCCCACCAAGGCGACGAUCCGUAGCUGGUCUGAGAGGAUGGUCACCCACACUGGAACUGAGACACGGUCCAGACUCCUACGGGAGGCAGCAGUGGGGAAUAUUGGACAAUGGGCGCAAGCCUGAUCCAGCCAUACCGCGUGGGUGAAGAAGGCCUUCGGGUUGUAAAGCCCUUUUGUUGGGAAAGAAAAGCAGCAGGUUAAUACCCCGCUGUUCUGACGGUACCCAAAGAAUAAGCACCGGCUAACUUCGUG
rnacentral:rRNA from 1 species